rnacentral:rRNA from 1 species
GCCCGCUCAGAAACUUAAAGGAAUUGACGGGGGCCCGCACAAGCGGUGGAGUAUGUGGUUAAUUCGAUGCAACGCGAAGAACCUUACCUGGUCUUGACAUCCCGGAGACCCUUAGGAAACUAGGGGGUGCUUCCAUCUGGAAGAAUCUGGAGACAGGUGCUGCAUGGCUGUCGUCAGCUCGUGUCGUGAGAUGUUGGGUUAAGUCCCGCAACGAGCGCAACCCUUGCCUUUAGUUGCCAGCAGUUCGGCUGGGCACUCUAAAGGGACUGCCGGUGUUAAACCGGAGGAAGGUGGGGAUGACGUCAAGUCCUCAUGGCCUUUAUGACCAGGGCUACACACGUACUACAAUGGCCGAUACAAAGGGCAGCGACACUGCGAGGUGAAGCCAAUCCCGUAAAAUCGGUCUCAGUCCGGAUUGGAGUCUGCAACUCGACUCCAUGAAGUUGGAAUCGCUAGUAAUCGUGGAUCAGCAUGCCACGGUGAAUACGUUCCCGGGCCUU